AACCAGCACUAUCUUUUGAAGAUUUCCUACCUCCAGCUCGCAGAACAAAAAAAAAAAACCAUAGGAAGCCUCCAUGAAGUUAUAUUUUUAGCACGUAGGCGCCAUGGGUGACGAAUCGUGCUUGCUGCUGGCACGAGUCCGCAGUAUCUUUCGAAGAUUUCUACCUCAAGC
rfam:Glossina pallidipes unplaced genomic scaffold Scaffold444, whole genome shotgun sequence.